rfam:Polaribacter reichenbachii strain KCTC 23969 LPB301_31, whole genome shotgun sequence.
GUCUAGCCCAGAUUGAAACGACAUCCUUUUUUUGUUUUUCUCAAAAAAAGAUAUAGUGAAAAGCUGGAAAUAGC